rnacentral:rRNA from 1 species
AAUAGAUACCCGGGUAGUCCACGCCGUAAACGAUGGGCGCUAGGUGUGGGAGGUGUCGACUCCUUCCGUGCCGAAGCUAACGCAUUAAGCGCCCCGCCUGGGGAGUACGGCCGCAAGGCUAAAACUCAAAGGAAUUGACGGGGGCUCACACAAGCGGUGAAGGAUGUGGCUUAAUUCGAGGCUACGCGAAGAACCUUAUCCUAGGUUUGACAUGCACGGAUUAACUCUGUGAAAGCAGAGCCACAGUUUCGAUUGGAACGUGCACAGAUGCUGCAUGGCUGUCGUCAGCUCGUGUCGUGAGAUGCCGGGUUAAGUCCCUUAACGAGCGAAACCCUUAUCUUUAGUUGCCAGCGAGUAAUGUCGGGGACUCUAGAGAGACUGCCGGUGUUAAACCGGAGGAAGGCGGGGAUGACGUCAAGUCCUCAUGGCCUUUAUGCCUAGGGCUGCACACGUCCUACAAUGCCGCGUACAGAGGGAAGCAAACUCGGUGAGAGUAAGCCAAAUCCCAAAAAGGCGCGGCCCAGUUCGGAUUGCAGGC